GAAAGACUUAUACAACAUUACCAUAUGGCCAGAAUUUAGACACAUGGUCAUACCUCAGUGCAAAGGAGGCUGAGAUAUUUAGCCAUUUAGUUAGAGACAACACCAUUCCAAGAAAAAUGGGUUGCAUACUAAGGCAGAAGGAGACAAUGGAUAUUGAUUGGAAAUUGCCACAGAUACCCCACCUGUCAGCAACCACCGCCCUAACUAGUCAGCAGCCAUCAACAUCCCAGAAAGAUCCUCCACCAACAAAAGGAUUAUGACUCCCUAAAGGCUCAAAUAAUGAUUAGCAUUUCUUACCAAUAAAGUAUUUUUUUAAGAACA